rnacentral:rRNA from 1 species
AUUGAACGCUGGCGGCAGGCCUAACACAUGCAAGUCGAACGAGUGGCGGACGGGUGAGUAAUGUUUGGGGAACUGCCUGAUGGAGGGGGAUAACUACUGGAAACGGUUGCUAAUACCGCCUACUAUCGGAUGUGCCCAGAUGGGAUUAGCUAGUAGGUGGGGUAAAGGCUCACCUAGGCGACGAUCCCUAGCUGGUCUGAGAGGAUGACCAGCCACACUGGGACUGAGACACGGCCCAGACUCCUACGGGAGGCAGCAGUGGGGAAUAUUGCACAAUGGGCGCAAGCCUGAUGCAGCCAUGCCGCGUGUAUGAAGAAGGCCUUCGGGUUGUAAAGUACUUUCAUUGGGGAGGCGUUACCGACAGAAGAAGCACCGGCUAACUCCGUGCCAGCAGCCGCGGUAAUAC